AGUAUGCAAUGUGGAACAGUGAAUUAUCUCGUAUAUUUUUAGUUGGAAUUUGGCAAAUCAAAAUAUAAAUCUGAUGAGCCUAAUGAUUACAUCAAGGAAGUGGAAAGAGAUUUGGUAUAUAUAUGAAGCCCUGCCUGGAUUAAUGAGACUCCUCAACAAGAAUCUUAAUUUCAAAUAGGAUAAAUUGCGAAUUGACGAGACGUAUAUUCUAUACAUACAUGUCUUGCCUAAUCAAACUUUUGGAAUGAAGUAACCCGACGUACUGCUAUUUUUUGCGACACCGUACUUCUCUUAAAUUGUUGUGAUCUAAUUUUAACAGGUCAUUAUUCGCAGUCUUUAAUCUGAUCGUAGUCAAAUGUGAGGUCUUCAAUGGAUUUUUGCGUAUGCUUCCCUGGUAUAUGAUCCUCAUCUUAUCUGGCUAGAUAGAAUCCUCAUAAGCGUUAUAUUAAGCAUCUGAAUCCUCAUAGGACACCAGGUUAACCUGGUUAAAAAUUUAGAGUAUUUUAAUUUAGGGACCGUUGUGUGACCCAUACGAAUAUUUUUUUAUGUCGUCGGAUCGAGCUGAAAUUUGUUGCAUAGGCUGCUAAUUGCCACUGGUCAAAGAAUAUGGAUUUAAACUUGAACAAACAAUUCAAGGUCACUUUUUGCAUUUUUUAUAAAUACCACCUUGUCGAUGUGGCGAAUCGCCACAUUGAAUCGCCACUGGCGAUAGAUUAGUUCGUUUUCAACAUUUUUCUACCAUGCAAGUGUCAUCGGAGUUCAAUUCUUAAUGAUUGUCAAUUUCUUUAUUUUUACUGACAACUGAGGCUUCCCUUUAUGUCCUCCAUGUCCUUUAUGACAGGGGUCAGAUGAGAUCAAUACAAAAAGAUGAUGCAAAUCUGGAAAGGAAACGAGCAGUGAACAACACAAACACAAGUCCUUCUUGCUCAGAAAGUGUAAAUCGAAUAGAUCAAUAUUUAAUUGUGAAAUUACGUAGUUAUUUGUAUUUUUUGCGAGUUACUUGUAAUAAAUUGAAGUUAAUAAACCACAAAUUAGUAAACAAGGUUGAAUUUUUAGUGCUGGUGAAAGCUCCUGUCGAAAAUUAUUAGUUUAUAAUUGGACUCCCGAAUUGCAUAUUCCCUGCUGGUUCAUUUCCGCCGAGACGAUGUGGGCACUGAGAAGGUCGUUGUCAUCACACGGAAGUUCCAACUCCAGCAUCAAGUCGAAGGUGUCUGAGGUCUUGCCUAAUGAGGUGAAGGCGGUGACACCCGGCACGAGACCGAGUCCAGCCAUAAGGAAUCCCAUGCUUCCUAUUCCUUCGGCGGAAAUGAUUAAAAAGGCGUCUGUGGUUGUGAGUAUCAUUUUUAACGCAAGUCAGAUCUCGUUCUCUUGCAUUGAGAGAAAUCCAAAAGAUCAAACAUUUGCACUCAAGGAGUUGCAGUUCCACCCACUCGUUUUAAGAAGUAAGCAACAUUUCCUGUCAUCCAUGAGUGAGGUGAGCAGAUGGUGACUUUGUCUAAGAAGAUACCACGGUCGGAUUUGUGCAUGAUUGAAGAGUACCCAACUACCGCAGCGAAUCCUCACAUGUUUGCUUAUGUACUUCAGAUUACUCAACUGAGGUCAUUUUUGCUAGGAAGCUUAACCUCGCGCAUGGACCUUUCACAAAUUGUGGCAAUCAAGACGGUGGCAGUGGCUCGCUUAUUCAACACUGUUGUUGGAAAUGAGAGGGUGUCUGGACAGCAUCUAGUUGACAACAUAAUCACAUGGAAGCCACUCCCAUCCUUUAUUGUUCCACAAAAAUUGAAAGAUGAGUAUGAAAAUUAUUCGGCAAUAAGUAAGGAAGGAUUGGCGAACGCUAUUUUAUUAAAUUUAGCUUAUUGGAGAUUGACCAAACAAUUUACAGAUUCUAUUACAUAAAAUUCAAUAAACUAUUAAACAAAA